rnacentral:rRNA from 1 species
CAAGGAAUUUUCCGCAAUGGGCGCAAGCCUGACGGAGCAACGCCGCGUGCGGGAUGACGCUUUUCGGAGUGUAAACCGCUGUUCGUGGGGACGAAGCACUGACGGUACCCACGGAGGAAGGCCCGGCUAACUACGUGCCAGCAGCCGCGGUAAUACGUAGGGGUCGAGCGUUGUCCGGAGUUACUGGGCGUAAAGCGCGUGCAGGUGGCUCAUUACGCCCGGCGUGAAAGCCCCCGGCUCAACCGGGGAGGGUCGUCGGGGACGGGUGAGCUUGAGGGUCGCAGGGGCUGGUAGAAUUCCCGGUGUAGUGGUGAAAUGCGUAGAGAUCGGGAGGAAUACCCGUGGCGAAGGCGGCCAGCUGGGCGACACCUGACACUGAGACGCGAAGGCGUGGGGAGCGAACGGGAUUAGAUACCCCGGUAGUCCACGCAGUAAACGAUGCCGACUAGGCGUGGGGGGACUUGACCCCCUCCGUGCCGAAGCUAACGCAUGAAGUCGGCCGCCUGGGGAGUACGGCCGCAAGGCUA